rnacentral:rRNA from 1 species
GACAGAGGGUGCGAACGUUGUUCGGAAUUACUGGGCGUAAAGCGCGUGUAGGCGGCAGCGCAAGUCGGGCGUGAAAUCCCACGGCUCAACCCGUGGAAGUGCACUCGAAACUGCGCAGCUAGAGUCCUGGAGAGGAAGGUGGGAAUGCUUGGUGUAGAGGUGAAAUUCGUAGAUAUUCGCAAGAACACCAGUGGCGAAGGCGGCUCACUGGCCCGGUACUGACGCUGAGGUGCGAAAGCGUGGGGAGCAAAC